UAGAGGGUAGUAUAAGUGGUAGUACCUAAAGUUUUGGGCUUUAGUGUAUAGGUUCGUGGCCUAUUCCUCUA
rnacentral:tRNA from 1 species